ACCCAAAUUAGAGAACUCCGAAACCCAAAAAAUCACCAAAACUAUAUGAAUGUGCAAUUGAAGAACUCAAACCUCAGAUUUGUCUCAAAUACAAAGAACAUCAUAUCUCAAAACCCAGCAAACGUGCUCAGAAAAGAAACAUGAACCAAUGUCAAAAUUCACCAAAAGACAAAUGUCUAAAUCCAAGUUGCUCAAUCGAGUGUUGUUCUUCAAGAAGAGAUGCAAAUUGGUUAUGUAGAUCAUUUUCAUACAAUUCAUCUGUUUUUAACCCACUCGUGUGACUCUUAAUAUGGUUUUGAUGAUUAAAUCUGCGUGAUUUAUCGCCUAACUGACUGAUUUGUUUGUCUUUUCUGCUUGGUUUAGUUGUGAAUAACUUUAGCAAUAUGCAGAUUUCUACAAGACUCUUACUUUUCUUGCUCUAUAUUAUCAGCAGCUCCUCCUAAGUUUUCUAAGGUGUGAAAUCAACAUCUCUUCUCAUUAUUGCAGUCCCUCCCAGGUUAUAUUCGAACCCUCAAGGAGAAUCUAAGGGCUCUAGAGAGGGAAAUGGAAGAUCUCAAAGCUAUUCAAAAUGUGGUGAAGAACAGGGUAGCCAGAGAGGAGGUGACACGACAUCGACAAAGGCUUGAAACUGUCCAGCUACGAUAGCUUGGUGGAUGAAAAUAUCAAGUCGUGUUUCCUGUAUUGUGCUCUGUUUCCGGAAGAUUUUAACAUACAAAUAGAAGAGGUGAUCAACUAUUGGAUAUGCGAGGGGUUCAUUAGGAAAGACCAAGUUAUAAAAAGUGCGGUGAAUAAGGGUUAUGCGAUACUUGGCACCCUUAUCCGUGCAAAUUUAUUAACAGAGAUUGGU